CCUGCGGCCAAUGGGAGCGCGCGUGGCCCGGCUCUGCCCGGCAACGCGCGCCCCCUGCCCGCCCGGCACGUCUGCCCCCGGGUGCAGUGGGCUCCCGGGGUCGCUGUUCCCAGGUGGGCUCCGGCACUGAGCGUCUCGAGAACUUGGUGGAAAUACAGGUUCCAGCCCAGACUCGCUGAAUUGAAACUCCAGCAGUCUGAGCUCACAGUCCGGGUAAUUCAGGUGAGCGCGAGUCUGCGAGCUACCGGGCUAGGGGACAGCGGCAACGGGUCGCCCCUUCGACCCUGGAUUCCGAACGGCGCUCGGAAUGAGUGACACGCGUUCUACCAGCUUAGAGAUGCGGAGACAGACUGCAAAGAGCCUAGAACCCGGCGAAAGUCACAGCAGGCAGGUCCGGACUCAGCGGCCCUCCUCUCCGUGCAGAAGGAACCCCGGACUUCUUAUCAACCUACCUAGGAAUUGAUUCACUACUGUCCCCUCGGGACAGCCAGCUGCACCCUCAGCCCUUACGGACCCCUGACGGCGCUCACCAGGCAGAGCAGCUGGAAUUGACAGAUGCCCUCAGGACGCACAGCACUUCAUCUCUGCAGCUCCCACCAGGGCAGUGCAGCCCCCUCUGAGGAAGAGGCCAAUGUCUCCUGGAGGUGCCCUUGCUCUGCUAGACAGGAGCUAAAAGUCUUCAGGGAAUUUUCAAGACAGCCCAGAUUGCAAGUCCACUGUCAUCACUGCAAACCCUAUUUCGAGUGUCUAAACCCAAAUCACUGUGGAUGGUGACUGCAGCCAUGAAAUUAAAAGACACUUGCUUCUUGGAAGAAAAGCUAUGACAAACUUAGUGUAUUAAAAAGCAGAAACAUCCCUUUGCUGACAAAGUGAUGAAUAGUCACUUUGUGAAAUGAAGUAGUAGUCACAAAGUGACUAGUCACAGAGUGAAGAACAGUCAAGGCUAUAGUUUUUCCAGUAGCCAUGUACAGAUGUAAAAGUUGGACCAUAAAAGAAGGCUGAACGCCCAAGAAUUGAUACUUU